UACGUAGGGGGCGAGCGUUGUCCGGAAUGACUGGGCGUAAAGGGCGCGUAGGCGGCCGUAAAAGUUUCACGUGAAAGUCCCGCUUUCAAGGUGGGAAUUGCGUGGGAAACUGUAUGGCUUGAGUGCGGAAGAGGUAAGUGGAAUUCCCAGUGUAGCGGUGAAAUGCGUAGAGAUUGGGAGGAACACCAGUGGCGAAGGCGACUUACUGGGCCGUAACUGACGCUGAUGCGCGAAAGCGUGGGGAGCGAACAGGAUUAGAUACCCUGGUAGUCCACGCGGUAAACGAUGAGUGCUAGGUGUAGGGGGUAUCGACCCCUCCUGUGCCGCAGUAAACGCAAUAAGCACUCCGCCUGGGGAGUACGGCCGCAAGGUUGAA
rnacentral:rRNA from 1 species